rnacentral:tRNA from 1 species
GGUAAAAUGGCUGAGCUUAGGCAAUAAAUUGUAAAUUUAUGGACGAAUUUGAAUUCUUUUACCA